UCAAAAUAGUCUAACUAAUAAUGCAUGUUUAAUUCAAGCAAAAUACUAAUCUGUGCAAUUAACCUAAAAUUAUUAACACCUAUAUAUUAAGAACUAAUCUGCAGAUGUGAAUUUUUGCAGUAUAACACAGGUUCAGCUUGACAUUAAACUUGAUUUCAAAAUCAAAUCCAAAUCCAACUGUUUCUUAUUCUUCCCUUUAAAACAGAAAUAAACGCUAAACUAAACAUGUACUAACUAUACGAAAACCAUAGCUAGAUGAUCACAAGUUUAAACAAUCCAAAAAAAAAAGUCUAGUUAAGUACAUAUGAAAACCUACUGAAAUCCCAAACUAUACUAGCAGCAUAAACUAAACCAAACUGCUAAACUACAGAGUUCUCAUGCUCCCAGGGAUACAUUUAAUUAGUUUAAUACUCUUCAAGUUAAAACAGUCCAUAGUUAUUAUAAUGAACUACAAUAUAGUCACUGAACAAUUAAAAAGACCAACUCAACAGAGAUAGGCCUCCACUUCAUUUCAUUUCCAGCUGAAUGUUUACAUAGUAUUGAGUUUCAUGAUUAAGUACAUGGAAAUUACAAAUAAGAAGGGAGAAAAGAGAAGUCAGCAGCAACAAAGGUAACACCAGCAGCAAGUCAGACUUAAAUCUGUGGCACAACCAGUUUUCAACUCAGAAACACAUUCAAGCGGCCCAGAAGGAGUUGCAAAAAUCAAUAGCAACAGCAAACACACAAAACAAACUCAAUUGAAUUCGAAUGCACCCAAAAUUGAACCAAUAGAUCUCAGAAGAAGCUCCAGCACAUCAAAACUAGGCUAGAAGAUCAAAGUCACUCAAAAUGGGACCAAUAGACUUCAAAAAAAAAAAACUUCAGCAUAUCAAAAUUAGGCUAAAAGAUCAAAAUUAACUACUGACAUUCGAAAUUGACCUAAAAAUUCAAUGGAAUAGUAUUUUUGAGUUUUUCUUCUAUUUUUCUUUUUUUGUUUGGUUUUUUGAAGGUUUUGAGAUUUGAAAUUCAAAUUAUGAAGAUCAGAUCUGCAGAAUGAUUUUUGGGGGGGAGUUUUUGGAGCUCAAAACUUGGGAUUUAAGGCAUUGGUGAUGCCUUUUUAUAGGCAAAAUGAGGUGCAACUUUCAGAUUUUCUGUUUUCCUUUUUAAUCCCUCACUUAUUUCAUAUUAGUCCUCUUGCUUAUUGACUUGUUUCUCAAGUUAACACCCUAAAUUUCUAAAGAUCUACCUAAAGUCCUAUUGUAGAAGAUUCUAGCAUAACCUACAUCAUUCUAACCCAUUUAAAAUUCCUAAAUUACCCCUGAAUUUAUUUUGAAAUUACUACCCUAAUACUUCAAACUCCUUUACCCUAGUUAAAUUUAACUAUGGUUAAUCAAUAGACUAGAUUAUUCAGAUAUAUCCAACCAAGUUCAAGACUCUAAAUUGAAUUAUCAAAACUAAACAAAACUACAAAUUAAUCUUAACUCAACUUUACCAAAUCCAUUAAUUAAUUCAAACACUUAAAUAAACUAAACUAAACAACUAACACAAAAUUAAUUAUUAAAAGCCCAACUAAUCCUAAUAAAACUACAACCAGACGAGAAAACUAUUAUUAGCAGAAGAAAACAAAUACACCAAAAUUAACAGGAAAUCCAAUUAAACUAACCAUUGAUGGCUUGUACUAAUUAGACUGACAUUUAAUCGUUUAAACUAACAAAAGUAAAACAAAGGUUAGAUCAGAAUUGAACUAAACCAAAAAAAAAAAAAUCAACACAACAAAACUAACUAUCAAUGAAAGCAUGAUUUGAACUAAUAAGGACUAAACUAAUGAGAAUAAUAAAAUUGAAAAGAAAACUUAAUGAUUUCAAGCCUUCGACUCGACUAACUUCUCAUUUGGUUAUCAAAUAAUAUUAUGUGCUUGUUCUCUCCAAGAACAAUAACGUAAUAUAAUUUGCAACCAAUUGAGCCCUUGAUUAAUUCUAGAAAUUCCAAAGAAGUAGGCAAAAAACCCUAGAUCUGAAAUUCGCUCAAUUCCACUCAGAUUCGAGAGGUUUUAUUUAGGGAUUCGGAACGAGGAUGCCCAGGGGACUAUGGGUACGAUUUUGACAAGAUAUCGAAGGAUCGGAAAUUUCAAAUUAAUAUUCGAGACGUUCCGAUCGGAUUCUAGGGAAAUGAUUUAGAUAUUUAGGAUGAGGGGGUUGAGACGGUGCUGUGGUGUUAAUUUGGUCGAGUUUGGGAAAUGUGGUGUUCUGACCGGAGAAUUUCGAUUGAAGAUUCGAAGAGAUUGGUAUGGAUUCGAAGGAAAUUGUUUUGAGGGUUGGAAAGAGAAGAGAAAGAGGUUUCUAGGGUAUAUUUUUUGGGUGGGAAAGGAGGCCGACCGCCACCGGGAGAAUAUUUUCGGAGGUGGCGUUACUAGGUCUGUAAAUAGGGCGAUCGGAGACAAAAAUCUGGGGGUGGGUGGGGUUAUCUGACCGUUAAAUACCAAAAAUACCCCCACUUCCCAGCCGUUGGAUUAAGAAUCCUCGACGGCUAGGAUCUGUUUGGAUCCAAAACGGUGUCGUUUAGUUCCAGGGGGCAGGACGGGUUCUUGGGUGUUUGGGCCGGCUUAUUGGACGGGUAAUUGGUUCGAUUUUAAAGUCAUUUGGACUGAAUUGGUCCAAGUUCAAC
rnacentral:lncRNA from 1 species